UCGAAAACAGGCUGAAGAGAAGACGAAAUCAACAGGUGCUAUAUGUUUGAGUCCAAAAAAUAUUUUAGUUUUGGUGAAGAGAAGACUGUUGGUGUUAUCAUGUGAAGAAGAUGAGGGGAAAAGAGAAAAUAAUGAACUGAGAUGAGAGGCCAAACUAAAGAGGUCUUCUCUAAAAAAGAGGUCCUUUUUCAUCUCCACCUGAUUUCUUUGGCCUCUUAAAUUCAGCCAAGUUGUGGGAAACAUGGAGGGUCAUUAUCCUCAAAAGCAAAGAGAAAGUGAUUCUAAGCAUCAGAUGAAAAAGGAGCUAAAAGAUGAGUAUAAGUUUUGUCUUAUAAUGCUCUCAUAACCAUGCCAAAUUAAAUAUCUUUCACAGUUUAUUUAUACCAACCGUCAAAAUUUCAUAAGAAACUCUCAAGCGACACGUUUAAUCUUCUUUUUCAUUCGAUUGUGGUGGGUCAUUCCUUUUUAUCCUGAGGUGGGACUUGAUUACAACUUACAGGUUUUCAUUCAUCUUUAUUAUUAACUCAAUUUUAUAUGAUAGAGAUUUCGCAAGGAUUAAAGUUACAAGGCGAAUUUCAUUUGCAGGCUAAAAUCGAUCGAUCAACCCAUUCGUCAGGUGGAAUUCUCAUCAGCAGCAUUCCUGGAUAUGUUCUGUUGACACACAAGGAUGUUGCUAUUCUGUCAAAAUGGAGUGUCAUUUGCUUCAUAUAUCAGUGAGAGAUAGUCAAGUGAAGUUCUAUAGAGAUUCAAAGAUAAAUGCUUCCAAAGCUGAGGGCCAGGUCAAGCUAGGUGCUUGAAGCCGCUUGUUUUAUUCAAAGCCUGUAAUUUCACCAUUACUUAAAGAGCAAGAUGGAACUAGUGACACCUGAUGUGAAAACUAUUUUAUCGAAGAUUGGAGGAAACAUGAUCGGUUAACCAACCGCCAUGGCCAUUAUCUAUUCAAUUUCAACCCCAUUGUCAAAGAUUUUAUGGAAG